CCCUAAGAAAAAGAAAAAGGGUAAGCCAAACAGCUCUCUAUAAAUAUUCGCUUUCGCGUCUCGCUUGCGCGUUGCGGCGCUGCUUUCAUCUCGUCCCUGCGUUGUUGUCAGUUGUUUGUUCUUCAUGGCAAGCAGACUGAAGAUAGCGCGUUUUACAGAAUGUUAGGGGGCCAUUUUCUGGUAUCGGUUAAGUUUCAAUAUUUAAGUUCAAGUGUGAAGAAAUGGAUUCUGUAUUGUAGGUUUGCUUCGUUGAGUGGUUACUGGCUGGUGGUAGUAUUACUAAUUGCUUGACCUGAUACGUUGGCCUUUUGGAGAGAGGAAAACGAUUUUCGUAUGAGGAGGAACUAUGGGAUUUUGGAUCUUCGAUCCAAAGCGAGUUGAUUUGCAAGGUCAUGCUUGCCAAACCCAGCAUCAAAUUUAAAAGCUUUGCUUGAUCACAGGAUUUUGUAUUUAUGAGUGUUAAGAAAACAAAUAGGGUCACUCACAAGUCACAACUUCAUGGAACAACUUAAGUGAAGCCAUGCAGCACACCACUUCAUUAUUUUAAACCUAUGAGAUUGUUUUUGUUACACUAAUUCAAAUUUAAAUUCAUGACUGGUAAACAUGUGGUGAGACUAUUUAGGAACAAAAAAAUUAAGUUCAAAGAACUGACUGAGCUUGGAAUUUUGAACUAUACUUACUGGUCUUGUUAGCAAACUCUGGAAAGAAAUUUACUUGUCUCUAGGAGACUUCUCAACACUGAGAUAUUCUAAUCAUGAAUGCUAAUACGAAAUUAUGCAGUACACUUUCAGUUUGGUAAGAAUUUGUUUUAUGUGAAAGUAUAUUAUUAUUUUAGCAAAUAUGUUGUAUCAGGAAAUCAGAUAAUUUUUCCUUUUAUAUAUCUAUAAACUGCAAUAGCAGAAAGUUCUGAUAAAAGUGGAUUUUUUUUUUGUUAAGUGGUAAAAGUCAAUUUCAAUAUUAUCUUUUAAACAAACAUUUUCUCUAUCUUUUGAAAAUGUUAGCAUUCCCACAAACUGUGUGUUUUAGUUCAACAUUAGCAUUCAUAAAAUUAUCUUUUCUUCUGCAGAGGAAUCCAACUAGUUAAUGACAAGUAUUGUACUGUUUUCUCUUUAUGUUGGGUUCCCAAUAAUUCUGGUUGCAUUUGUAUGCCAGACUUGAAUACUGAAACUUACGCACGUUCUUAUUUUUUAGAAUUAUGCUUUCCAUCCCUGUGAUGAAUGAUUUGAAAAUUAAAAGUAGUGGACUGAUCUUCACUGAUGUGAAACCUACCCUGAGGGAUGUUGAGAUGGAUCUAGUCUAAUUGAAAUUAUUCUCCUUUUAUUAUCUGCUUUGUCCUCAUUGCCUUGCAUGGGGGCAUUGAUUUUGAGUAUUUAAAGGAAUUAGUUUCCUUCCUUGCUUAAGUCCUUCCAUUUCUUGUUAUUUAAUAUUUAUAUGCAUUUUUUUUUCUUUUUGUAUGUUUUUUCUAAAACAUCUUUCUCUAGAUAUGUAGUUCAUAGCUGCCAGAAAUUCCAAACAAAUUACUAGUAGAAUAACCUUUUUGCCGAGUAUGGAGUUCUGAGGGGUACUCUUCCUGUUUAACUUUAUGUUGCUUUGCCUUUCUCAAGUUUUCCUUAUAGGCUGUUGAUUUCUCGCUGGUCUUUUUGGUUUUAAUAGUGGUGAAAGAUGCUCUUUCUCAAGUUGUACUAUUUUGAAGCAGUUAAUUGCUGAAACCCAAGGACCUUACUGACAUAGGACACAGGCCAGACUAAUGGGCAACCCGUGGGCCAUGGGGCUUCUGUGAUUUUGGGGUCUGAGGAGGGACUAUGAAUUGAGAUAUUACUUUUAGCAAUGUGAUUGUUCAUGUUCAUAAUAUCUGACAUUUGCUUUUGAUGCAUCAGUAGGUUAUAGACACAUUGUCUUUUCAGUAUGCUAGUUAAUCAGUCCAUCUCUUUUGAAUAUUGUUCUGCAUCCCUAUGAUGUAUGUGAUGUUUAUUAAAAGUAGUGGACCGAGCUCCAUUGAUGAGUAAUAGUUCUGAAGUAUGGAGUUUUGAUAACAUUUUACAUGCAUGUUAAACUGGUUAAUUUGAUUUUUGGACUGUAUGAUGUCUUAUUUAUAUGCAUGUUAUUCAGAUCUGAUGGAAUUUAAGAUAAAUCAGCCAGUUUACCUUUAUGAAGGGGCAUGCAUAACAUUUUAUAUUUAUUGAAGCCUUUAUUUUAUUAAUGGGCUCCGUGUUGUGCUGAGGUUGGGUUCACCAUUCAUCAAUGCUUAUUCUGUUGAUAUACAGCUGCAAACCCUUCUGCAAUUCAACCAUACCAUAUGUAUUCCAUUUGUUCCAGAGUUGGUUGUACAUGACAUUGUUCCUUUUUUCUUGGGACUCUACACUUAAUAGUUGGCAGAAUAUUCUUCAUUGGUACAUGAUGCUUUCUUCCAUGGAGAUGGACCUAAGACUGACUAUGGACAGGACCCUUUCCAAAAUAGCUGUGUGCAUUUGAAGGAUUAAAAUACUUGAUAAACAUGGUUUGACACCAAAUGGCUAUAUUACAACACACCUUCUCAAAUUAAGGGAAAAUAGCUAAAUGAAAGCAGGGAAAAAUUAAGGGAAAAUGGCUAAAUGAAAGGAGGGAAGCAUAUGGGAAGUCACAUUAAGAGCAUGCUUUGCUGCCAUUUUUAUGUUAAUGUGUGUUAUAGCUGCAGGUUGUGUGGUGUAGUAACAUUAAAAUAAUAUAUUCUAGUUAAGUUAAUGCUCAGAAGGAGAGCUAAAACCACCUCUGGGUUAUUAAACUUAAAUCAUCCAUGUCUCCCAGGUCAGGUCUAACAUGAAAAUUGUGUACAUUGCUUGCUACUUAAUGGUUGCAGAAGAAGCUUGUCAACUGAAUUCCCCCCAACAACUAACAUCUUCCUGCAAUAUUUUUUAAAUUAGCUUUUGGGUUUUCAGUUACCAAGCUCUACCUUGUCGUAUACCUCAAAUGCUCAAUUUGCUCCAUUUUUAAUGCUUUUUAUAUUUUCUUGUGUGGAAAGACAUUUAUUAGUGGCUCAUGUGCACCAGUGCAGUUAAGGACCAUUAAUGCUUUUAGAUGGUUAAGCAGACGGGCAAGCAGCUUGUACAUGGGAUGGUUAGUUACAAGUACAGCCUGGAAGUAUGAAUUAGCUUCAAAAGCCUGGAUUGGAUUCAGAGCUUGUACAGGCAAACUUGCUGGCAGCAAUUCGAUCUGCUGUGUCCCACUGUAAAGCGGUUCUUGUUUUGACUCUUCGGGACACCUAACCCCUCAGUUCACUGACAGUUGCUGUAUUUAUGUUGCAAUAAUUUUUUGGAGAAAUUUACCGGCCAGUUAAGUGUCCAAAUUCUAAGUGUAGAGUGCAUAGGACAUGGAGAGGAAGCUGACCUGACUAUUUCUGCAUGCUAAUUGGAGAAAAUUACUGCAUUUUUGUUGCUUCUUUUGAGGUCACGAUGUUAAUUAUACAAAGCAAUGCCUUUUUCUCAAUAUAUAGCUUGGAUGUCUUUCUUA